rnacentral:lncRNA from 10 species
CUUUUUAAAUUCUCGGCAUAGUGUAAUGAUUACUAUUCCAAAACAGAAGAUAUGUUGGCAAACUGCCCUGUAUUUGAAAAUAGAGGAAAUGCCCUGGAAAGAAUGAGAUGUGGUAAAGAGAGGAAAUGACAAUGUACUGAAAAGACUGGGCUGUAAGUCAUCACAGCGGCGCCCUGAAACCCGAUAUGUCAGGCAAGCUGGUGGGAUCCUGGGAUCCCUCAUGUAACGGCACUCAUUCUGACAGAAGCAGAGAUAAAACAGACUAAGUACACAGAGGAGUUUAAGGUUUCGUGAAUGUAAGUGCUGAGUACAGAAUGGUGCUCAAUAAAAGCUUGUUAAUUGAUGGACCACAGGUUUGUGACAAGACUUCUCAGAGUCUGAUUCUUUCAAGGUGGGAUAUAAGAGUAAGAUACCUUGACUAUGAAUAAUAGUUUCAAUAAGGAAGACAGAAUGAGUUCUGACACGAUGGUUGGGAGCUGUGACAGGCAGACGAAAAAUGGAGCCAAAUGGCAUGGAGGUGUGUCAUCACUGCUGGAUUUUACCUUGAUCUACAUUCAGUUAUCUACUUCUUUUCAAAAUGCUGGGCAUUCAUUCAAGAAACAGCAUAUAUGUUCUGACUUUGAAGUAAUGGAUGAACUGUCAUGUGCAGUAUAUGGAAAUAAGUUUUAUUACCUUCUUCCCACAUUAACUCAUCCAUCCAUUCAAUAGCCAUUUAUUGAGAAGCUCACUCUGUGUUAGGCACAGUGGUGUCAUGAUGUUGGAACAGUAACAAUAACUCAACCAACCAGGGCUUGUCUGAAUACAAUCCUACAGCAGCAGGAGCUGUGGAGAUAUAGAAGGCAAGGAAGACCAGGUUGUGAGGGAAGACGAAUUUACUCCCAGGAAUGUUGGGAUUGAGAGUAAUAUUCUCCAAUAAUGGUGGAAGACAGAACAAUAAAAGCCCACCAGCUCCUUCUGCAUGGUGGGAUAAGAGAAAAGCCAAGGGCAGAAGUGAGAAAAAUAACCAUCACCAAACUGAAAAGAAAACCUUUAUAAAAAAACUGGAUUGAUAAAUGACCUUUAGUAGUGGAAAGAUACCAUUCCAAUGAAGCAUGAAUUGAAAGGAUUUCUUCUGAAAGCUAAUUUACAUUUUUCUUUUUUUUUUUUUCAUUUUCAGUGUGUUUUAGCAGGUGUAUUGUUCUACAUGGUUAGUUUCUUUACCUCUUUGAGAAAAAUGGGUCAGCUUGACACAUCUGGAUGAAAGAAUCCGUUAGGUGAUUAUGAUUGAAGACAGAUUAAGCCUUGUUAUGAGGGGAAUAUUUGGGGGCUUACCCUGAGGUGAUAUUUGAUGAUUUAGCUGUGGGAGAAUUUCCCUCCCAAGAUCAGCGUGACUGACACUGAAAUUGCUACAGGGGAACCGGACCUUUCCAAGAGGUGACAAGGACAUUUACCUGGUACAACACAAUGGUUCUGGACUGGAAGUCUAGUCCCAUUGAUGAAGUUCCCAAAAGAUGUCCAGGUCCUAAUCCCUGGAAUCUGUGAAUAUGUCAUCUUACACAUCAAAAGAACUUUGAAAAUGUGAUUGAGGUUAAGGACCUUGGAAUGAGGAGAUUACCUUGGAUUAUCUGGUUGGGUCCAAGCUAAUCACAUGAGUCCUUAAAGGAGAAGAACCUUUUUUAGCUGGGUCAGAGAGAGAUGUGAUGAUGAAAACAGGCUCAGGGAGAUGCACUGUAAGAAGGGCUUGACCAGUUGUUUUUGACUUUGAAGAUGGAGGGAAGGGCCAGGAGCCAAGGAAGGUGGGUGGCUUUUGGAAGGUGGAAAAAGCAAGGGAACAUUCUCUCCAGAGCCUCCAGAAAGGAGCUCAGCCCUGUUGACAUCUUUGUUUUUAUUUUUUAUUUUUAGUAGCAUUGAGGUCUCACUAUGUUGCACAGGCUGGUCUUGAACUCUUGAGCUCAAGCACUCCUCCCGCCUUGGCUUCCCAAAGUGCUGGGAUUAUAGGCAUGUGCCACCACAUCUGGCUUCCUACUGACAUCUUAACUUUAGUGCAGUGAGACUCAUAUUUGAAUUUCUGACCUUAUAUUAUAGAACCAUAAGACAUUAUAGAAUUAUAUAGAAUUAUAGAACCAUAAGACAAUAACUUUGUGUUGUUUUAAGAUACUAAAUUUUUGGUAAUUUGUUAUGGCAGCACAAUAAAACCAAUAUAGCAUUAUAUUAUGCCAAUAUCAUCUCUUUGUUGACUAUUGCUAUUAUAGUUUGUUUUAUGGGUCUUGUGUAAACAAUCAAGCUAUAAUAUUGGGUUAACUCCCUAAGGAAAACUUGGAAUAUAGAACAUUAUUUUAAAGACUGAAUUAGGUAAAUACACCUGCCAGUGAAUACAUUAACAAAUUAAUUAAUAUAUUCACUCUUUUCACUCACAAAUACUUUUUGAGCCCCUAUUACUAGCCAAACAUUUUGUUAGAUUCUGAGAAGGGUCUGCUAGACAACAUUGUGACUAUAGUUAAUAACAAUAUAUUGUACUCUUGAAAAUUACUAAGAGAGUAGAUUUUAAGUGUUCUCACCACAAAAAAUAAGUAUGUGAGGUAAUGCAGAUGUUAGUUAGCUUGAUUUAGCCAUUCCCCAGUGUAUACAUAUUUCAAACCUUCAUAUUAUACAUGGAUAAAUAUAUACAAUUUUUAUUUGUCAAUUAAAAGCCCCUCGAUGAAUACAGUUUCCAUUCUGUCCUUGAGGUGGAGCUUGUAGACUUGGUGGGGUCCGGGGAUCAACUUUUAAACAGGCAGUUCCAAAGUGUGGAGUGGAUAGGCUUAUUCUCUUUGUUGCUUUUAUGAUAGGUAUUUAGAAUGCACUUUCCUCUGUUAAGUUAAGCCAGCCACCAUUCCCUCAUUCAGUUUCCAUCCUCCAUGAAUUUGCUCACAUCUGCGGUCUACUGUCACUCAUUCUUUCCUUCUCUUCCUGAGGGCUUGUGUGACUUAUGUUCUUGGCUUUCUCUUAGGAACAUGGUGCAGCUUGGCCCUGCAUUAUCCAUCUGGAAAAACAGAUCAUAAAACAGUCCUUCUCUGUACUAAGUGCUAAAGUAGGAGGAAGGGCAUAAGUCAGCUCCCUGAGCUAUAUAUCCUUGUUUUCAGGAGCUGAGCUAGACACAAGCAGAACUUGCAAAUAAUUUACAUUUCUUUCUGCUGAGGUGGUUCAGAAUAAGUUGCAACAAACAUGAACAGGAAUGGUGCAGUAAAU